rnacentral:misc_RNA from 1 species
UCUCCGUAGGUGAACCUGCGGAGGGAUCAUUACAGAGUUCAUGCCCUACCGGGUAGAUCUCCCACCCUAUGUUAUUAUUACUUUGUUGCUUUGGCGGGCCGUUAGGCUCCGGCCCGACUACCGGCCCCGGCUGGUAAGCGCCCGCCAGGGGACCCAAAACCCUGAAUAUUAGUGUCGUCUGAGUACUAUAUAUAGUUAAAACUUUCAACAACGGAUCUCUUGGUUCUG